rfam:Salmo salar isolate Sally breed double haploid chromosome ssa29, whole genome shotgun sequence.
UGUAUUCACUACUGUAAGUCGCUCUAGAUAAGAGCGUCUGCUAAAUGACUAAAA